UUUUUUAAUUAGUUUAACAAUCAUAAUUCAGUUAUUAAUGGAAUAAAUUCUCCAUCACAAUCUCUGAAAAAGAUUUUGAAGAAAAAAUUGUUUGGUAAUAAAUUUAAGAAUAAUCAGGAAAAUCUUAAAUGAACAUUGAUGAUUAACUGAUAGAAGAACUGCAUUGCAUAGAGUACAGAACAUCGUAA